rnacentral:rRNA from 1 species
GAUGAACGCUGGCGGCGUGCCUAAUACAUGCAAGUCGAGCGAACAGACGAGGAGCUUGCUCCUCUGACGUUAGCGGCGGACGGGUGAGUAACACGUGGAUAACCUACCUAUAAGACUGGGAUAACUUCGGGAAACCGGAGCUAAUACCGGAUAAUAUAUUGAACCGCAUGGUUCAAUAGUGAAAGACGGUUUUGCUGUCACUUAUAGAUGGAUCCGCGCCGCAUUAGCUAGUUGGUAAGGUAACGGCUUACCAAGGCAACGAUGCGUAGCCGACCUGAGAGGGUGAUCGGCCACACUGGAACUGAGACACGGUCCAGACUCCUACGGGAGGCAACAGUAGGGAAUCUUCCGCAAUGGGCGAAAGCCUGACGGAGCAACGCCGCGUGAGUGAUGAAGGUCUUCGGAUCGUAAAACUCUGUUAUUAGGGAAGAACAAAUGUGUAGUAACUAUGCACGUCUUGACGGUACCUAAUCAGAAAGCCACGGCUAACUACGUG